rnacentral:rRNA from 1 species
CCUACGGGUGGCAGCAGUCGAGAAUCAUUCACAAUGGGGGAAACCCUGAUGGUGCGACGCCGCGUGGGGGAAUGAAGGUCUUCGGAUUUUAAGCACCUGUCAUGUGGGGGCAAAUUAAAAAGAUAGUACCACAAGAGAAAGAGACGGCUAACUCUGUGACAGCAGCCGCGGUAAUACAGAGGUCUCAAGCGAUGUUCGGAAUCACUGGGCGUAAAGCGUGCGUAGGCUGUUUCGUAAGUCGUGUGUGAAAGGCCCGGGCUCAACCCGCGGACGGCAUAUGAUACUGCGAGACUAGAGUAAUGGAGGGGGGACUGGAAUUCUCGGUGUAGCAGUGAAAUGCGUAGAUAUCGAGAGGAACACUCGUGGCGAAGGCGGGUUCCUGGACAUUAACUGACGCUGAGGUACGAAGGCCAGGGGAGCGAAAGGGAUUAGAUACCCCUGUAGUC